rnacentral:rRNA from 1 species
GACGAACGCUGGCGGCGUGCUUAACACAUGCAAGUCGAACGGACUACUUUGCUUCGGUAAGGUGGUUAGUGGCGAACGGGUGAGUAACGCGUAGACAACCUACCUCUUAGAUGGGGACAACAUCGCGAAAGCGGUGCUAAUACCGAAUGAAGUGACUUUCCUGCAUGGGAGAGAUACUAAAGGUGGCCUCUAUUUAUAAGCUACCAAUGAGAUAUGGGUCUGCGUCUGAUUAGCUAGUUGGCGGGGUAAUGGCCCACCAAGGCGACGAUCAGUGGCCGGUCUGAGAGGAUGAACGGCCACAUUGGGACUGAGACACGGCCCAAACUCCUACGGGAGGCAGCAGUGGGGAAUCUUCCGCGAUGGACGAAAGUCUGACGGAGCAACGCCGCGUGAGUGAAGAAGGUUUUCGGAUCGUAAAGCUCUGUUGUUUGAGACGAAUGUGCCUGUUUCAAAUAGGGAUAGGUAAUGACGGUAUUAAACGAGAAAGCCACGGCUAACUACGUGCCAGCCGCCGCAGUAA